rnacentral:misc_RNA from 1 species
GAUCUACUGCAGCCGCUCUUUCCUGGCGAAAAUGCAGUAGAUCAACUGGUGGAGAUCAUCAAGGUCCUUGGUACUCCUACUCGGGAAGAAAUUCGAUGUAUGAACCCAAACUACACAGAUUUCAGAUUCCCACAGAUAAAAGCUCAUCCUUGGCACAAGGUAUUCCAUAAAAGAAUGCCUCCUGAAGCAAUUGAUCUUGCCUCACGGCUUCUUCAAUAUUCACCAAGUCUUCGCUGUACUGCACUAGAAGCAUGUGCACAUUCGUUCUUUGAUGAGCUUCGUGAGCCCAAUGCCCGUCUCCCUAAUGGACGUCCAUUUCCACCUCUUUUCAACUUUAAACAAGAGUUAACUGGAGCUUCACCUGAUUUGGUCAACAAGCUGAUCCCUGAGCAUGUGUGGAGGCAACUUGGUUUGAAUUUCCCAUUUCCUGGUGCGACGUAAUUGUACUAAUGUAAUAUAGAGUUGGUGUAUCAGAAAAAAUAUAUAGGGAGUCCUUGUGGAUUAAUGUAACCAUGCAUUUUGGCGUAACCAGUGGCUAUGCACGCAUGUAAAAGUUGUAUGCAUAUAGCCGCUGUUUGGCUUACAAGAAGUGAUCCUGUCUCUACUUGUGUCCUCUUUUAGCUAAUAGCAGACCUGUUGCCUCUUUUGUACAUUGUUUUUGAUAAGAAGAAUUCAGAUAGGAGUAUAAAGUGAUAAAUA